UUCAAGAAGUUGUUCGUCAAUCCGGUAAACUCGUUUCAACUCUUACGUGCUAAGAAUAUUUGUUGUGUGUUGAUAUUUUCCUUAAUUAUAAUUAGUGUGGCAUUUUCUCUUGAAAAAAAUGUUCGGAAAAGGUACAUCUAAAUCUGGUGAAAGUAGUAGUCAAAAUCCUACCCCUCCCCCGGCUCCCCGACCUAGAAAAGAUAAACAAGUUCAAACUAGUAGC
rnacentral:lncRNA from 1 species